rnacentral:rRNA from 1 species
UUAUACGGCGAACUGCGAAUGGCUCAUUAAAUCAGUUAUCGUUUAUUUGAUAGUACCUACUACUUGGAUAACCGUGGUAAUUCUAGAGCUAAUACAUGCUAAAAAUCCCGACCGGAGGGAUGUAUUUAUUAGAUUAAAAACCAAUGCCCUUCGGGGCUCCUUGGUGAUUCAUAAUAACUUCUCGAAUCGCAUGGCCUUGCGCCGGCGAUGGUUCAUUCAAAUUUCUGCCCUAUCAACUUUCGAUGGCAGGGUAUUGGCCUGCCAUGGUUACAACGGGUAACGGAGGGUUAGGGCUCGACCCCGGAGAAGGAGCCUGAGAAACGGCUACUACAUCCAAGGAAGGCAGCAGGCGCGCAAAUUACCCAAUCCCGACUCGGGGAGGUAGUGACAAUAAAUACUGAUACAGGGCUCUUUUGGGUCUUGUAAUUGGAAUGAGUACAAUUUAAAUCCCUUAACGAGGAACAAUUGGAGGGCAAGUCUGGUCCAGCAGCCGCGGUAAUUCCAGCUCCAAUAGCGUAUAUUAAAGUUGUUGCAGUUAAAAAGCUCGUAGUUGAACCUUGGGCCUGGCUGGCCGGUCCGCCUCACCGCGUGCACUGGUUCGGCCGGGCCUUCCCUCUGGGAAAUCUCAUGCCCUUCACUGGGUGUGCGAGGACCAGGACUUUUACUGUGAAAAAAUUAGAGUGUUCAAAGCAGGCUAUGCUCGAAUACAUUAGCAUGGAAUAAUAAAAUAGGACGUGUGGUUCUAUUUUGUUGGUUUCUAGGACCGCCGUAAUGAUUAAUAGGGACAGUCGGGGGCAUCAGUAUUCAAUUGUCAGAGGUGAAAUUCUUGGAUUUAUUGAAGACUAACUACUGCGAAAGCAUUUGCCAAGGAUGUUUUCAUUAAUCAGGAACGAAAGUUAGGGGAUCGAAGACGAUCAGAUACCGUCGUAGUCUUAACCAUAAACUAUGCCGACUAGGGAUCGGACGACGUUAAUUAUGACUCGUUCGGC